GAUGAACGCUGGCGGCGUGCCUAAUACAUGCAAGUCGAGCGAAUGGAUUAAGAGCUUGCUCUUAUGAAGUUAGCGGCGGACGGGUGAGUAACACGUGGGUAACCUGCCCAUAAGACUGGGAUAACUCCGGGAAACCGGGGCUAAUACCGGAUAACAUUUUGAACCGCAUGGUUGGAAAUUGAAAGGCGGCUUCGGCUGUCACUUAUGGAUGGACCCGCGGCGCACUAGCUAGUUGGUGAGGUAACGGCUCACCAAGGCAACGAUGCGUAGCCGACCUGAGAGGGUGAUCGGCCACACUGGGACUGAGACACGGCCCAGACUCCUACGGGAGGCAGCAGUAGGGAAUCUUCCGCAAUGGACGAAAGUCUGACGGAGCAACGCCGCGUGAGUGAUGAAGGCUUUCGGGUCGUAAGACUCUGUUGUUAGGGAAGAACAAGUGCUAGUUGAAUAAGCUGGCACCUUGACGGUACCUAACCAGAAAGCCACGGCUAACUACGUGCCAGCAGCCGCGGUAA
rnacentral:rRNA from 1 species